GACGAACGCUGGCGGCGUGCCUAACACAUGCAAGUCGAACGGAAAGGCCCUGCUUUUGUGGGGUGCUCGUGUGGCGAACGGGUGAGUAACACGUGUGUAACCUGCCCUUGACUUUGGGAUAACUUCAGGAAACUGGGGCUAAUACCGGAUAGGAGCUCCUGCAGCAUGGUGGGGGUUGGAAAGUGUCGGCGGUUUGGGCUGGACUCGCGGCUUAUCAGCUAGUUGGUGGGGUAGUGGCAUACCAAGCCUUUGACGGAUAGCCGGCCUGAGAGGGGUACCGGGCACAUGGGGACUGAGGUAGGGACCAGACUGCUACGGGAGGCAGCAGGGGGGAGUAUUGCACAGUGGGGCGAAGCGUGAUGCGGCGACGUCGGGUUCGUAAUGACGUCCUUCUGGUUGUAAACCGCUUUCGCCUGAGACGAAGCGUGAGUGACGGUAAUGGGUAAAGAAGCACCGGCUAACUACGUG
rnacentral:rRNA from 1 species